CGGAGUACAUUUACUUGAGUACAGUACUUAAGUACAAUUUUGAGGGAUCUGUACUUUACUCGAGUAUCAUUCUUGGGGAGUACUCACGACUUUACUCAAGUACAUUUGAGAGGCAAAUAUUGUACUCUUUACUCCGCUACAUUUCUAUCCAUAACCGUGAGUAGCCGUUACUUCAAAUAAAAAAAUAAAAAUUUAAAUCCUCAAUUUGUCGUUUCCCUCUCAAACGUGAUUGGAUUGUGCAGGCACCACUGAUUGGGACAGCCAAUCAGCAAUCAGCAAUCACCUUCAGUUUUCUGCCAAAAUCAACCGUCAGAUUAGAUGAGAGACGUUAUAACCAUGGACUAAACAAUGGAAGAAGCCGGAGCAGGUCCGUCCCAGGGAUUUGUAAACCCGUGGCCCCACCUUGCCAGCCUAUUCACAUUUUCCGAACAGAAUGGUGAUAGUUUUCGUUUUAAGUGUUUGCUAUGUUUACCGAAGCAGAAUUUCAUCACUGCCUACAAAAAUUCCACAUCCAACUUGCGGAAGCAUGUCAAGGUACGUACAGACAGGAUUACAAAAGUGUUUGAAUACAUGAGAGAUAUGUUACCCAAAGUCUUGUAUUUGCCUGACCUAAUAUUGCAGGACUUGUUAGAUAGACAGAAGCACCUAAAUACUUUGUUCUACCGGAAUCUACAGCGAGCUAGCACACGAAACAGACGUGGUCCAAACCGCGUUAGCAUUUAUUUUUUUUAAUACCGGGUUAAUCCUUCCAGGCUAUGUGGAGUGAGUUUGUCUGUCAUGCAUGUGUCUAAGUGUGUCAGUAAAUAAGGAAUAUGAUGUCUAAUACAAUGUUUGUAGGCAGCAGUCCUGUAAGUAGGGGUGUUAAGUCUAAGAUGGUGCCUUGUGUUAUCGUCAUGACGGGAUGCAUUUUGAGUGAACAUGUUCAGGAAAUAAGCAGGGAGGUUUUUGUUUAAGAACUUGUGGUAGAAUUUCAGGCACUGUAUUAUGUAGAUAUCAUCUAAUUUUAAUUGAUUUAACCGUAUGAAAAUUGGCUCAGUAUGCUCAUUUAAUUUGCUUUAGCAUUUGUGUAGCGCGCACGAGGGAGAGGGACCUAGAGACUGUGCGUGUGUGAGGCAGUGUGCAUGUGUGCCUCAGUAGCAUCCUGAUUAUAUGGAUAUCUGCGGGGCGAGGGCUUCAAUUACCUCUCUCUUUUUUGACUAUACAUGUGUUUGCAUCCCUGUUUGCUGAUCCCCGUAAAUUAAAGUUAGUUGCACCAGUAAAACCAAUUAAAAAGUUAGUCUGGAACCAUUGGAAAAUUAUGAACAACCAGCACUUCAUAAUUAAUAAUACUGCUAUGUAGACUAUAUGAUGGGAAUCUUUCCUAAUAUUUAUUAGUUUUAUAUAGAGUAAACUGAAAUAUUAUACUUUGUUUUACAGAGAAGGCAUGAGACACAUAUGGAGAAAUACUCCAAACUGACUUCAACAGCCUGCAAGAGGCCAUCGGAUGGUGGAACAGGCUUCAAGGGGAAGCAAAUGAAGCUGUUGGAGACCAAGCAGGUGUCUCAGAAGACGGUUGAUCAGGCUAUCCUCCGCUUCAUCGUUCAAGGUCUCCAGCCCUUCUCCCUGGUUGAGAAACCAUCCUUUCAAGACCUUAUUGUAGAAUUGCAACCGAGAAGUGCUGUCAUGUCCCGCACAACUGUGCGGCGUAAGAUUGAUUCAGCUACAUCUAAAAUGAAUGAAAGUCUCAAGAACGUAAUGAAAGAGGUACCAUACAUUGCCACCACUACUGAUUGUUGGACGGCCAGGAGAAGAAGCUUUAUAGGUGUAACAGCCCACUGGCUCGAUCCUUGUAGUUUUGAACGCCGUUCAGCUGCCCUUGCUUGCCGUCAACUAAGAGGCUCCCACACAUUCGAUGCCUUGGCAGCUGUUUUGACCGACAUUCAUGCCGAGUAUGAAAUAAGUCUAAAGGUUGUUAGAACUACAACAGACAACGGGUCGAAUUUCGUCAAAGGGUUCCGUGUCUUUGGUCAGCAGGACGAAAAUAACAAUGAAGAGUUAGUUGCAGAAGGCACAAUCGAAGAAGUAGGAGAAGAUUGUGAUGCAUCUGAUGGUGAAGAGGAGGUGGAACUCAUUGAUGUGGAAGCCAUUCUGGAGGAAGAUGAUGGGCUUCAGUAUCAGCUGCCGAAACAUCAUCGGUGUGCAUGUCAUUUACUACAUUUAGUUUCCACAGUCGAUGUUGAUAAGGCUAAUACGACAGAAGCUUACAAGAAAUUGUCCAGAUCAGCCUUUUCUAAGUGUCAGGCACUCUGGAAUAAAGCAUCAAGGUCUCCUCAAAAUGCUGAGCUUAUAGAGGAACACUGUAAGCUUCACUUGGUACAGCCUAAUUCAAUUCGAUGGAACUCGUCUUUCAUGGCCGUGGAACGUGUGGUCAGAAUCAUUAAAGACCAAGGACAGGGGUCUGUGAGAACGGUCUGUGCUGCACUCAAUGUUCCAAUGUAAGUAGCUUAUGUUAAUGUAUAAUUGUGUUCUUAAUUUGUUAGAAUAAUGCUUACCACAUUAUCUGCUGUAGGUACAUAAACAAAUUAAUAAAUGUCCAGCAUUGCACAGUGGUUCUGUAUACAUUUUGUGGAAAUAUGUGUUUGUUUAUUUUCUUCUGUUUCUAUUAGGUACAGUCCGGCUGACAUAGCCUUUUUAGGGGAAUAUGUCACCACCAUGAGUCCAGUUGCAAAGUCCUUGAACAUACUACAAGGUGAAGUCAACAUUCAGAUGGGCUGGCUGCUCCCGACAAUCACCACCCUCACAACCAAGCUUGAAAAGUCCAGACCGUCACUCAGAUUUUGCAAGCCACUUGUUGAUGCUCUUCUUGAAGGUUUGAGGAAGCGGUUUGAGAGCAUGAUGUCAGAGCCAGAGCUAAUUGCAGCAGCCAUACUUGUUCCAAGGUUCAAAACCUCCUGGACCAGCAAUGACACAGUCCUACAGCUUGGCCUUAGUUACAUCAAGACACAUCUGCCAGAACAUGAUGAAGGUCUUCGGUCUCCUGAUACCACAGCAUCCUCUUCUGAAGAUGAUGACUUCUUCUCCAAUGUCAAGCCGACACAUUCCAAUGAGAUAAGUCAGCAACUUGAUGGAUACCUAGCCGCUACAGCUGAUGGAGUGAAUACACUGGCCCCCUAUCCAGCUGUGCGUAACCUCUCACUAAAGCUCAACACAGCCCUGCCAGCUUCAGCAGCGUGUGAAAGGCUUUUUAGCAUUGCCGGUUUGCUUUUCACCCCAAGAAGGGGAUCAAUUCAUUCACAGAAUUUUGAGAACCAACUUCUCCUCAAGUUGAACAAGGAGUUCAUGAAAUUUGAUUGAACUGAAGUACAACACACACACACACACACACA